GCUGUUUCUGCUCCUUCCUCUGCUGACGCUAAUGUUCCUUCCUUUGAUUUCCCGUAUAAGUUUAAGGCUGUGUCCAAAAGGCUGAAAUCUAACCCAUUUCGACCAACUCCGUCUUUUCCUAAAUAUUACGUUCACGCCUGGAUACCACCUAAGUUCCCAUGGAAACCACCUAAGUUCCCAUGGAAACCACCUAGGUACCCCCAGAAACCACCUAGGUCCCCCCGGAAACCACCUAGGCGAAACUGGAACAGGAGUCCACCUCCUCCACCGCCACGCUUGUUACCACUAUCGCAACCACCGGUGUAACAUUAGCCAGCUGCUGUAAGUUAAUAAAAUAUAAUAGAAGCUAUAUAUUUUCA
rnacentral:lncRNA from 1 species